GCUGGGUAUGGUUGCACAUGCCUGUAAUCCCAGUGACUGUGGAGGCUGAGACAGGAGGAUCUCAAGAUCAAGUCCAGCCCCAGCAAUUAGCAAGGCCUUAAGCAAUUUAGGGAGACCCUAUCUCAA
rnacentral:sRNA from 1 species